rnacentral:SRP_RNA from 1 species
GCUGGGCAGGUGGCAUGUGCCUGGAGUCCCCAGCUACUCAGAAGGCUGAAGCAGGAGGCUGCUUGAGCCCAGGAGUUCUGGGCUGUAGUGUGCUAUGCUGAUCGGGUGUCUGCACUAAGUUGGGCAUCAAUAUGGUGACCUUCUGGGAGCAGGGGGCCACCAGGUUGCCUAAGGAGGGGUGCACCAGCCCAGGUCAGAAACGAAGCAGGUCAAAACUCCCGUGCUAAUCUCUAGAAACUUCUCUCUUGGCUUUUUGUCUGUACCUCCAGAAUGAGCCUGCAUUAAAAUGACUUUCAU